rnacentral:rRNA from 1 species
GAUGAACGCUGGCGGCGUGCCUAAUACAUGCAAGUCGAGCGAACGGACGAGAAGCUUGCUUCUCUGAUGUUAGCGGCGGACGGGUGAGUAACACGUGGAUAACCUACCUAUAAGACUAGGAUAACUUCGGGAAACCGGAGCUAAUACCGGAUGAUAUUUUGAACCGCAUGGUUCAAAAGUGAAAGACGGUCUUGCUGUCACUUAUAGAUGGAUCCGCGCUGCAUUAGCUAGUUGGUAAGGUAACGGCUUACCAAGGCAACGAUGCAUAGCCGACCUGAGAGGGUGAUCGGCCACACUGGAACUGAGACACGGUCCAGACUCCUACGGGAGGCAGCAGUAGGGAAUCUUCCGCAAUGGGCGAAAGCCUGACGGAGCAACGCCGCGUGAGUGAUGAAGGUCUUCGGAUCGUAAAACCCUGUUAUUAGGGAAGAACAUAUGUGUAAGUAACUGUGCACAUCUUGACGGUACCUAAUCAGAAAGCCACGGCUAACUACGUG